GCCUUCGUGGUGUAAUGGUCAGCACACUGAGCCGGUAUUUCAGAGGUCCGUGGUUCGAUCCCCGGAGAAGGCA
rnacentral:tRNA from 1 species